CAGCCGCCGCGGUAAUACGGAGGGUGCAAGCGUUACUCGGAAUCACUGGGCGUAAAGCGCGCGCAGGCGGCUAUUUAAGUUGGAUGUGAAAGCCUACGGCUCAACCGUAGAACUGCAUCCAAAACUAUUUAGCUAGAGUGUGGGAGAGGAAGAUGGAAUUAGUUGUGUAGGGGUAAAAUCCGUAGAGAUAACUAGGAAUACCAAAAGCGAAGGCAAUCUUCUGGAACAUUACUGACGCUGAGGCGCGAAAGCGUGGGGAGCAAACAGGAUUAGAUACCCUGGUAGUCCACGCCCUAAACGAUGAAUGUUAGUCGUCGGGUAGCUAGUCUAUUCGGUGAUGCAGCUAACGCAUUAAACAUUCCGCCUGGGGAGUACGGUCGCAAGAUUAAAACUCAAAGGAAUAGACGGGGACCCGCACAAGUGGUGGAGCAUGUGGUUUAAUUCGAAGAUACGCGAAGAACCUUACCUAGCCUUGACAUAUAUUAGAACAUUUUAGAGAUAAGAUGGUGCCUUCGGGAGCUUUUAUACAGGUGCUGCACGGCUGUCGUCAGCUCGUGUCGUGAGAUGUUGGGUUAAGUCCCGCAACGAGCGCAACCCUCGUCACUAGUUACUAACGGUUCGGCCGAGGACUCUAGUGAGACUGCCUUCGCAAGGAGGAGGAAGGUGAGGACGACGUCAAGUCAUCAUGGCCCUUACGGCUAGGGCAACACACGUGCUACAAUGGCCAGGACAAUGA
rnacentral:rRNA from 1 species